GCUGCAGAGGGCUCUUGUCCUUGAUUAACCGUGAGGAAAACGAAGUCCAGAAGGAACUUGUCAUACCUGGUCACUGCCUGAGUGAAGGGAGCGCACAGAGCCACCAGCAGCAGUCUGAAGUGGAGCAGUGCCUCAGUGAACCUGCCUCAGUGAACCUGCACCCUGCUUGCCCGUGUUCUAGAGAGAAGAGGAAACGUUUGCUGUGCCUUUGCUCUCAGCAGUGUAACUGUGCUUGAGCACCCAAACCUGGGAGUCCCCUGGCAGGGAUGUGCUGUGCCAGCUGUCAGUCUGGGAAGGGAUCAGUCUGACUCUUGCGGUGCUGUGUCCUGGUGGGGAAGCUGAGCUGUUGAUGGCAUUUGCUCCUUGGCAGCUAAUGGCUGGGGACAGCCGUGGGACAGAGGAAGGAAGAAAUUAUCUGGGUUGAAACGUGGGCCCCUUGUCAGAGAGCAAAAGGGGAGAACAGUUCUCAGUAUGGAGCAUCCCAGUGCUGGGGGCAUCGCUUUGGGUUUCUGACCAGAGGCUGCUUUGGGGAGCUUUCAUUUCUCAAGAGGUUGAUGCUUGAAAUCCCAGGAAUGGGGAAGAUGGUUGGAGCGCACUGGCCUGGGUGGGUGAGACAUCAGCAGCCCCUGGGGGUGCUUUGGGACAGCAGAUCACAGCCAGAUCCUUGGGCUGAUGUUGGAUGUUUCCCUCGUUUUGUGCCCUACAUGGAAAUCCAAAGCCAGGGAACUAUUUUUAGAGCACUAAAUGCCUCCCCUCGACGUAUUCACUGUGGAAGAAUAAAUACCAAAGGCGCUCUUGUCACAUCUGAGGUGGUUACACAGCAGCACAGCAGUGGCUGUAAUGGGGAAAGAAAGCAACGUUGUGCCACCAGCACUUCAUUAAACACAAUGAAGAAGAUCCUACUGCGAUCCUUCCAGGGGAAGCUGAGGGGAAAUUCAUUCACUUCCACAUCCAUCACUGUGGAUUUACGGGCACAUCUCCAUCCCACUGGUGUUUCAGAGAACAGAAGCGUUUGGGUAGGAAAGAGCUCUCAGAUCCCCCAUCCAACCCCAUCCCUCCACCGUAACCAUGUCCCCACGUGCCACGUCUCCAUGGCUUGGGGGCGCCUCCGAUGCCCAGCGAUGGACAUUCAGUGCAAACCCUUUGGGCAGAGAUACCCACAGCACUCAGUGGCACAGAGCACGCCGAUAUGCACGCACACGUAAAACACUGCUUUAUUGACUGCAUUUGCCAACACAUUGAGGAAUGCAAAGGUUUCGUUUUGUUGUUUCGGUUUUGUUUUUCUCUCAUAAGCCAUGGGCCAUGGUCCCAAUGUGUAUUAAAGCAUACACUGUACCUAAACAGGAUGAAAAUAAUGGCAGACAGAGCUAUUCCAAGGCAACACAAAGAGCAUGCAUAAUACAGUCUCACACAGAACGAGUCUGAUAACAUUAUAUUGCUUUAAGGAUUAACUAACAUGGAAAAUGUACAAAAAGGAGAAAUAGGUUUUUGCAUUAAUGAAAAAUACAUUUUUUUUUUUCUCUACAAAGGAAUUUCUAAU